CACUUAGGGUCGGGUGCGGCCGCAUGUAGCGAUGUGGAGCGCGGCGACUCGGAGUCCUUCUCGGAGCCCAUGGCCGGCAGAGGCCGAGGAGCCAGGGGCGCCCAGCGCCGCCACAGCUCCCGCCUCAGCGCCCCUCAGCCAGCGCCCGGCCGCCGCCGACGCCGCCACCACCGCCUCAACCGCCCUCCCGGCGAUAGAAGCCGAGCGGCAACGACGAAGUGAUUAUAAAGCCUCCGCCCCGCGCCCCGCUGCUCUCCCUGGUCUCCGCCUCCAAUUCCAUCACCAUGACACCCAAGGUGGACUUUUUGGUUUGCCGUUCCUCACAGGUUGAUUGCCACUUCCAGUAAAUGAUGGUUCAGUUACAUUAUUUAUAAAAAGCAGGCAGGGGUUGAUCAGAUGGUGACUCCCAACUGGUUCACCUUCCAACAUUUCUGUUUAUUAAGCAGACGGCAUAAAUUAAUAAAGAAUAUAUUCAUUCACUGAGCUUCUACAAAGUGCGAGGCAUUAGAAAAUAAAACAGACAAGGUCCCCUAUUGCAAGGGACUUCCAGAAUAAAGUCCAAAUUUCUUAGUCUAGCAUUCAGUGUUCUCUAUGUAUUUAAUAAACCCUAUGUAUAUAAUAGUCUAUUUCUAGGCUCACUUACCAUUCUAUCCUCCUGGUAUCUUGCUUACUUACCAAACUUGUGGAAGGAGACCCAGCGUUUUCUUGCCUGGCAGUGCC
rnacentral:lncRNA from 10 species